rnacentral:rRNA from 1 species
GAACGGGUGAGUAACACGUGGGUGAUCUGCCCUGCACUUUGGGAUAAGCCUGGGAAACUGGGUCUAAUACCGAAUAGGACCACGCGCUUCAUGGUGUGUGGUGGAAAGCUUUUGCGGUGUGGGAUGGGCCCGCGGCCUAUCAGCUUGUUGGUGGGGUAAUGGCCUACCAAGGCGACGACGGGUAGCCGGCCUGAGAGGGUGACCGGCCACACUGGGACUGAGAUACGGCCCAGACUCCUACGGGAGGCAGCAGUGGGGAAUAUUGCACAAUGGGCGCAAGCCUGAUGCAGCGACGCCGCGUGAGGGAUGACGGCCUUCGGGUUGUAAACCUCUUUCAAUAGGGACGAAGCGCGAGUGACGGUACCUAUAGAAGAAGCACCGGCCAACUACGUGCCAGCAGCCGCGGUAAUACGUAGGGUGCGAGCGUUGUCCGGAAUUACUGGGCGUAAAGAGCUCGUAGGUGGUUUGUCGCGUUGUUCGUGAAAACUCACAGCUUAACUGUGGGCGUGCGGGCGAUACGGGCAGACUAGAGUACUGCAGGGGAGACUGGAAUUCCUGGUGUAGCGGUGGAAUGCGCAGAUAUCAGGAGGAACACCGGUGGCGAAGGCGGGUCUCUGGGCAGUAACUGACACUGAGGAGCGAAAGCGUGGGGAGCGAACAGGAUUAGAUACCCUGGUAGUCCACGCCGUAAACGGUGGGUACUAGGUGUGGGUUCCUUCCUUGGGAUCCGUGCCGUAGCUAACGCAUUAAGUACCCCGCCUGGGGAGUACGGCCGCAAGGCUAAAACUCAAAGGAAUUGACGGGGGCCCGCACAAGC